rnacentral:tRNA from 1 species
UCCCCGAUAGCUCAAUCGGCAGAGCGAAUGACUGUUAAUCAUUAGGUUGCAAGUUCAAGUCUUGCUCGGGGAG